UGAAGGAACCGGCUUCCCUUUUGGCAGCCAUAAUGGUUGAACAUGUGCUUCUAUGACCUUGUCCUAGAAACCAGAAAGUCAGAUGCCUGUCUUGUGACAAGGAACCAAUCAGAAGUUAGCUGGUGGUGCUAUGCUUUAUGGCUCUGGGUGUGCUUUACGGACAAGCGCACAAUGACUUGACCAAUCAACACAGGGCAAGCCCUCCAAGCCUGGAGGCACACCAAUCGUAAGCCUGUGCGUACCCCUAGACACUCCCCUUACGCUGCCCUAUAAGAUCUUUGGGGAGACCUUAGGAGCCGUCUUUUCUAGCUGUCCGCCAUGGCGGGUGGGUGAAAGACCCGAGCUAACAUGGGGUUAGCUCGUUAAAUUACAAUAAAGCCUCGUGCAGUUUGCAGCAAGCUCUCGAAUCCGCCUGGUGAUUGGGGUGACCGCGAACCUGGCCUGAGACCCCGGAUACUUGAGUUUUCGGGGGUCUAACAUUUUGGGGGCUCGUCCGCGAUUUGCGACCACCCUUCACCUGAGUGGAUUCGAUCUUGGAGGUAAGAUGAUUCGAGCUCGAAACUUGUAUAUGUUCAAUGUUCUAUGUUUCUUGUUUUGUCUCUUGCUGUUUUGUUUGGUGCCAUGAUUUGUAUUUGAUCUGCGCAGAAUUUGUAUUUGUAAUUCGGACUUCUGGGGAAGACCCUGAAGUCCUGCCCUGGAUGAAAGUCCGAGGGUUGCUUGAUUUGAUCUGCGCAGAAUUUGUAAUUUGUAUUUGAUCUGCGCAGAAUUUGUAAUUGAACCAUAGGGUAAGCAGACUUGCGAGAACCUUGGUUCCACCCUGGAUGAAAGUCCAAGGUUUGGUUGUAAUUUUGGUUUGGGGCACCAUUUCUUUGCCGCGGUUUGUCCUGUCUAAUGUUUGUGCUGUCUAAUGUGCUGUCAUUUGUGUUAUGUGUUUCUUAAGCAUCUCUUUCUGUCCCACAUUGCCCAUGCACGUGGCAUGCAUGGGUCAGGGGUCUUUUCUUGUUGCCCUAAGCACAUGGCACGGGAAAGGAGUUCUGCCAUGUGUCACGGGUUAGAAUGUGUUAUGUUGGAGUCCCCCGAGGCUGCUUUUCUGAACUCGAACCACUGCUGCAGCCCUUACAGCUGAGCCUGGCCCAUGUAGUUUAAAAUGUCAGACAGACUGCCAGAUCCUGACAGUGACCCAAAGUCUCCAAAGAAGAUUACGAGGCACCUCAGUUCCUGCACCUGGACCAGUGAGCGAGAUGCUCAGAUGUGAUACCUGCCGCCUGCCAGAACCUAGCCGAGACUGUGGACAAAGCUGCUAGACACUGGAAAAUUGAUUGCACCCCUUUGCCUAGACAAAACAAGACAUCUGAAUAUCAGUUGCUGACUACAGACUGUUCUAAGACUGCGAGCCCUGGACUUGCUGUGGAUGUGAACCAGUUCAGCUGAUAUGGACACCCCCUGUCUCUGCAACAGUGUCUGCUACCCAGAAGCCCCUGAUGAAUUCCCCAUUGCCUAAAUCCCUUUUUGCUUUUGACUAGCAUUUCAACCUUCUGGGGUCCCUAACUUCGUCCCAAAGUCAGCAGGAAGCAGUUUAGAAAAGAAUUUCGGCGUCCAUUUUCCCUGGUUAAAAUGCUAAGUCAAAAGGAACUCCCUUACAUGGGGAUGCCAAUAUCUAUCACUCCCUGAUGGGGAUGCUAGAGAGACAGCAAUUCCAUGAUUGGAAUUUCCAGAAAAGAAAAUGGGGGAAUGAAGGAACCGGCUUCCCUUUUGGCAGCCAUAAUGGUUGAACAUGUGCUUCUAUGACCUUGUCCUAGAAACCAGAAAGUCAGAUGCCUGUCUUGUGACAAGGAACCAAUCAGAAGUUAGCUGGUGGUGCUAUGCUUUAUGGCUCUGGGUGUGCUUUACGGACAAGCGCACA
ensembl:lncRNA